GAUGAACGCUGGCGGCGUGCUUAACACAUGCAAGUCGAACGGAAAGGCUCCUGCUUGCAGGGGUACUCGAGUGGCGAACGGGUGAGUAACACGUCGGUGAUCUGCCCUGCACUUCGGGAUAAGCCUGGGAAACUGGGUCUAAUACCGGAUAGGACGAUGGUUUGGAUGCCAUUGUGGAAAGUUUUUCGGUGUGGGAUGAGCUCGCGGCCUAUCAGCUUGUUGGUGGGGUAAUGGCCUACCAAGGCGUCGACGGGUAGCCGGCCUGAGAGGGUGUACGGCCACAUUGGGACUGAGAUACGGCCCAGACUCCUACGGGAGGCAGCAGUGGGGAAUAUUGCACAAUGGGCGCAAGCCUGAUGCAGCGACGCCGCGUGGGGGAUGACGGCCUUCGGGUUGUAAACUCCUUUCGCUAGGGACGAAGCGCAAGUGACGGUACCUGGAGAAGAAGCACCGGCUAACUACGUG
rnacentral:rRNA from 1 species